AUNNCUUUAGUACCAACUAGUACAAUUGGCUUCCAACCAAUUAGUUUCGGUCUAACCCGAAAAGAAAUA
rnacentral:tRNA from 1 species